UGAUGCGGGCUUCGUGAGGCGGAAGUGACGCAGUGUUGUCGUCUCGUAGGCUUGAAAGGUAGGUGCCCGACAUUAGGGACUGUCGCAGCCCGGGGAAUUGUCCCCAUCUGCUGGCUUACCUUGUGGGCGUGGAUCCCCUCUAACUUUCCUAAUUCCCGGGCGGCCCGCGGGCCUGCGGCAGAUUCAGCUCUCAGGACUCCACUUUCAGUUUCUUCCACUUCUGGGGCAGGCUGCUUGUCCUGCCACUCUCAGGCCCCCCACCAGACACGGCAGCAACAGCUGUUCCUAAGUGUUCAACUCGCUCCUUCCCGCAAAUGUAGAAGCUCAAAUCCCUAUAGCAAAUUCCAUAUUCUAUGUCAUUCUUAAUGCUUCCGUCUCUCUGGUUGAAUCUAGAUUGGAUACAAUCAGUGAUGCACAUUUACCAGACAGAGGAUGUGCAGCGUUUACUGUUGAUUUCUCUCUUUUCCUCCCUAUCACCUCAGUUUAGUUCCAGGAUCCACACUCCUCCACCAUAGUCAGGAGAUUCAGGGAAAGUUGGCAGGGUUCAGCUUUCAAGUUGACCCUUGAUGAACCAUGGUCAAUCCUGUUAAGAGGCGUGAAAGCCAAUCCCAGCCAAUGAGACUGGGGAGAAAUCACUGAAGAACUUGUGGAAAACAGACCCUCUGGAUAAAAGACACGUGUGGGGAAAAAGGGGCUUUUUAAUGUUAUUCUGGAUGUUUCCCAAAAGUACUGCUGCUGCCUUGCCUCCCUGACAGACACUGGCCUUAGGAUGACAUGCGGCAGGAAGGAAGGACGGAUCUGGGGUUUUUCAAGACUCACUGAGAUGCACAAGGAACCAACCCUCAAGUAGCCAACUCGUUCCUGUUUGCAUGUGUCGACUGAAAAGAAUCAAAAUAAACAAAAUAUAACUAUUUCUAAGAGGUUACAACUUGCAGGCAGGAAGCAGGCCUCUACCUGAGGCCAUAAAGCAUACUUUGAAGGAGAAAAGGUAGGUAUUUAUGCUAGGUGGAGAGGUAGGAUAUACGUAUUCUGUAGCAUACAGGAGAAGCCUAUGAAAAUUCAUGGAGGAAACUCGUUAGAGACACGCACUGGGCUUACAUAUGAAGAAUAUCCAAAAGCGGAUGACCUGUGUUCACUCUGGGGUGAAGAUUUAACAUUUAAAUGUAUUAUAAUUAGGCUGUAAAUGCAAAAAGGUGAAACAUAGGGCACAAGUUCACGAUCUGUGCAAUCUCCAGAGACCAGUCUGAUCUAGCCUGCAGCUGGCAGUCAUCUGUCAAGAAGGGGCUCUUUGUAGCCCAGAGUAGCUGUCAGGUUGGAACCAUAAAACCAAAAGGAGGGCAUCGGCGGUUAGGUGAAGAAAAGAAGUCUUUUGGCCUUUUUUCCUCUUCAAGUCAGCUUUUGAUAAGAUCUAGUAAUAAUAAGGGGAUGGGUGUGGCUGCAGGUGGGACAUGUCGGUUCUCUGUCCUGUCACAGCUAAGAACUAAGAACUUUAGAGUCUUUCAGCCAUAGAGGGUCCUGUCAUCCAUUGAAGGGAUCAGUCCAUUGGGAUUUUGCCAGUUUUAGCAUUGAUGCUGUGUCCUGGGAAACCCCUGAAUACUUAUCAUAGCAGAAGUUCAGCCACUGUAGCCCUACCUCAGGACCGCUUUUAUGGGAAAGAAUAAUUCCUUUAACUGCUUGAGCCAUUUGAGUUGUGGCUGCUUUUGGUACUUGUAAUAAAUUGAAAGCAUCUUGAAUGUUCUGGGACAGUAAAAGAAUGUGCCUUUGUUUCUGACAGCAAUUAUAAAAUCAAUUAUAUGUUUAUAUUCUAAAAAAUGUUUUGAGUAAUGCUGACAUCAUUGGAAAAGUGCAUCACUUAGAAAAUGUAUCUGUGUGUCAAUUUUGUUUGUUCAAAAUCAGUUUCAUUAAUUUGUGGGAAGAUACACCUUGUACAUUUUACCUAAUUAAAAAAAAUAUUGCCAGUUGAGUAUACUUGUGAUAUAUUCAAAGAUAAAUAAACUUUUUCAAUUUUAGAUAUUCAAAAAAAAAAAAAAAAAA
rnacentral:lncRNA from 1 species